AACGAACGCUGGCGGCAUGCCUAACACAUGCAAGUCGAACGAGACCUUCGGGUCUAGUGGCGCACGGGUGCGUAACGCGUGGGAACCUGCCCUUAGGUUCGGAAUAACUCCCCGAAAGGGGUGCUAAUACCGGAUAAUGUCUUCGGACCAAAGAUUUAUCGCCUUUGGAUGGGCCCGCGUUGGAUUAGCUAGUUGGUAGGGUAAAAGCCUGCCAAGGCGACGAUCCAUAGCUGGUCUGAGAGGAUGAUCAGCCACACUGGGACUGAGACACGGCCCAGAAUCCUACGGGAGGCAGGAGUGGGGAAUAUUGGAAAAUGGGGGAAAGGCUGAUCCAGCAAUGCCGCGUGAGUGAUGAAGGCCUUAGGGUUGUAAAGCUCUUUUACCCGGGAUGAUAAUGACAGUACCGGGAGAAUAAGCACCGGCUAACUCCGUG
rnacentral:rRNA from 1 species